rfam:Leersia perrieri chromosome 6, whole genome shotgun sequence.
AGAACAAGACGUAGCCAAGGACAACUUGCUGGAAAAUGGCAGCAUGGAUCAAAAUAUUGCCUCUUGAAACAUGCAUACACGUACCGGCAAGUCAUCCUUGGCUGCAUUCCAUUCUCU